ACAGCCUCUUUUUAAUCACAGUUGGGGUUUGCUGGAGUUGUGAUCUCAGAUCUAUAAUGCAUGUUGUAACGUUCAUAUUCUGUGUGUGCGUGUGUGUCGCAGGGGCGACUGAGUAAACAUCGUCUUAAAGAACGCCUCGUCAGCCCUCGGUGGCAGUGAUGAUCACGGAAAGACAGAUGGAGACACUUGCCAGGGAUGUGACACCACCAUCUGUGGGUGAAGGGGAGAAGACAACCUGAGACCUCCGGAUCAGAAGACGACACCGCUGCUACAGAGAGGAAACAAACUGCUCGCUCCUCCUGCUUCGCUCUGCUUUGCCUCUGUGGGAUAAGGUGCAGGCAGGGGAUGGUAAGCUGAUCCAAGGCCAGGGUUUGACAGUGCCCGAGGCUGUGCCUCCGUGUAGCCACUCCAGCGGAGGCUGCGCCAGAGAACAGUAAAUGCUGCAAUAAAAAAAAAUCCUCUAAUCUCCAACACUUUCCAACCUGACACUUUCCACUGUCUGCUUUCUAGAGUUUAAAUAAGUGGGUUGCUAUCCACUGUGAUUAAUGACUAGCUAUAUGUGUGACUGAUGUCGACUUUUAAUGAUCACAUUUUGUCGAAUAGAUUUUAGUGAGUAUAUUCUAUUAAACGUUACACAUCGGUUCGAUACGUAACCUUUGUUGCAUGUCAUAACCCUUCCAUCCCCGUUUCUGAUAAAAAUAGCAUUCAUGUGGAUGCAGAUUUGCCUGGUCCACGUUUUCAUAUUCAUAACUUGUCCUAUCAUGUAUUGA